GGCCCUACGGGAGGCAGCAGUGAGGAAUAUUGGUCAAUGGGCGGGAGCCUGAACCAGCCAAGUCGCGUGAGGGAAGACGGUCCUAUGGAUUGUAAACCUCUUUAGGCGGGGAGCAAUGCCGGGCACGCGUGCCCGGAGGGAGAGUACCCGCAGAAUAAGCAUCGGCUAACUCCGUGCCAGCAGCCGCGGUAAUACGGAGGAUGCGCGCGUUAUCCGGAUUUAUUGGGUUUAAAGGGUGCGCAGGCGGGCUGUUAAGCCGGCGGUAAAA
rnacentral:rRNA from 1 species